GUGUCAGCGCGGUAAUACGUAGGGUGCGCGCGUUAAUCGGAAUUACUGGGCGUAAAGCGUGCGCAGGCGGUUAUAUAAGUCAGAUGUGAAAUCCCCGGGCUCAACCUGGGACCUGCAUUUGAGACUGUAUAGCUAGAGUACGGUAGAGGGGGAUGGAAUUCCGCGUGUAGCAGUGAAAUGCGUAGAUAUGCGGAGGAACACCGAUGGCGAAGGCAAUCCCCUGGACCUGUACUGACGCUCAUGCACGAAAGCGUGGGGAGCAAACAGGAUUAGAUACCCUGGUAGUCCACGCCCUAAACGAUGUCAACUGGUUGUUGGGAAUUCACUUUCUCAGUAACGAAGCUAACGCGUGAAGUUGACCGCCGGGGGAGUACGGCCGCAAGGUUGAAACUUAAGAAAUUGACGG
rnacentral:rRNA from 1 species